AUCUAAGCCAUGCGAGUCAUUGUAGCAUACAAGGCAGACGGCUCAGUAACGCGUAGUCAACCUACCCUAUGGACGGGGAUAACCUCGGGAAACUGAGGAUAAUCCCCGAUAGAACAUUAUGCCUGGAAUGGUUUAUGGUCCAAAUGAUUUAUCGCCGUAGGAUGGGACUGCGGCCUAUCAGUUUGUUGGUGAGGUAAUGGCCCACCAAGACUAUUACAGGUACGGGCUCUGAGAGGAGUAGCCCGGAGAUGGGUACUGAGACACGGACCCAGGCCCUAUGGGGCGCAGCAGGCGAGAAAACUUUGCAAUGUGCGAAAGCACGACAAGGUUAAUCCGAGUGGUUUCUGCUAAAGGAACCUUUUGUUAGUCCUAAAAACACUAUCGAAUAAGGGGUGGGCAAGUUCUGGUGUCAGCCGCCGCGGUAAAACCAGCACCUCAAGUGGUCAGGAUGAUUAUUGGGCCUAAAGCAUCCGUAGCCGGCUCUGUAAGUUUUCGGUUAAAUCUGUUCGCUCAACGAACGGGCUGCCGGAAAUACUGCAGAGCUAGGGAGUGGGAGAGGUAGACGGUACUCGGGAGGAAGGGGUAAAAUCCUUUGAUCUCUCGAUGACCACCUGUGGCGAAGGCGGUCUACCAGAACACGUCCGACGGUGAGGGAUGAAAGCUGGGGGAGCAAACCGGAUUAGAUACCCGGGUAGUCCCAGCUGUAAACUAUGCAAACUCAGUGAUGCCUUGGCUUGUGGCCAAUGCAGUGCNGCAGGGAA
rnacentral:rRNA from 2 species